rnacentral:lncRNA from 1 species
UAAAACUCGAAACCCUCUUUGAUCCCCAAUUUUCCUGUCUUACAUGCAUCUCUCGAACCUUUACGAAAUCUGACGGAUAUUUUCGUUUUCAGCGACCCAAGUACUCCGCUUAGCUUGUCCGUUAAGUAAAUUAUCUUCACUUUCUGCUAAUGUUCGGUUAAAUUUCAAUCCAAUUGUCUCUUUAUUUGAUCAUGUUAUAUGUGUUUGUGCGUGCGUAUAUGGUUUAUUACCUUCAUUGAUAUUAAAUUAAUUGAUAUUUUUUCCGGAGUUAGUAUUAUACAUUUGUGGAAAUUCCAGGUUGUUGUGUAGACAUGUUUUUUGCUAAAUAUAUUUGUGUACUUAUGAUUCUUCUGUCCCUUUUUCCUUAAAUGGAAAUAUGGAAUGUGUGUGCAUGUUUAUAAUGGCGGAGAAUGUAUGGACGACUCCAUGUUUUGUUGCUGAAAACAUGUAGCGCGUCUUUGGCCCCCAUUCUUAGCUAAUUUUAACGGAUGGAAUAGUGUUUUUUUGAAAAAUGUGUACUUGGAAAAGAAUGAAAAGUUUUUUAUUUGUAUUUAAUAUUAUUUCAUAGAAGAUUGUGUGGAUGAAAAUAAGAGAGAUAAAAAGAAUGAGAAUGAGAUAAGAAUGAGGGGCGUAGUGUAAAAGUGUAUUUUAGUUGUUUUUUUAAAUGAAGUUUUAAUUCGAAAUUGAAAUUGAAAUUUUACAUCGUAUAUCCACUAUGUUUCGUGUUCCCUUGAUUUCAUGCGAUUUACUUCAUGUCUUUUCAUGAAUGUAUAUAAUUGGAGAGAGUGUAUGGACAACUCCAUGAUUUGUUACUGAGAAAUAUAUGUGAAGGUUUGUUGUUU